GACGAACGCUGGCGGCGUGCUUAACACAUGCAAGUCGAGCGGUAAGGCCCUUCGGGUACACGAGCGGCGAACGGGUGAGUAACACGUGGGUGACCUGCCCUUAGCUCUGGGAUAAGCCUGGGAAACUGGGUCUAAUACCGGAUAUGACCUCAUGACGCAUGUUGUGGGGUGGAAAGCCUUGUGCGGCUAGGGAUGGGCCCGCGGCCUAUCAGCUUGUUGGUGGGGUGAUGGCCACCAAGGCGACGACGGGUAGCCGGCCUGAGAGGGCGACCGGCCACACUGGGACUGAGACACGGCCCAGACUCCUACGGGAGGCAGCAGUGGGGAAUCUUGCGCAAUGGGCGAAAGCCUGACGCAGCGACGCCGCGUGCAGGAAGACGGCCCUACGGGUUGUAAACUGCUUUUAUAACGGGAAUAAACCUUGAUACGUGUAUCAAGCUGAAUGUACUGUUAAGAAUAAGGAAUCGGCUAACUCCGUGCCAGCCGCCGCGGU
rnacentral:rRNA from 1 species